rnacentral:rRNA from 1 species
CAGUCGCCGCGGUAAUACGUAGGGUGCAAGCGUUAAUCGGAAUUACUGGGCGUAAAGCGUGCGCAGGCGGUUCGUUAAGACAGAUGUGAAAUCCCCGGGCUUAACCUGGGAACUGCAUUUGUGACUGGCGGGCUAGAGUAUGGCAGAGGGGGGUAGAAUUCCACGUGUAGCAGUGAAAUGCGUAGAGAUGUGGAGGAAUACCGAUGGCGAAGGCAGCCCCCUGGGCCAAUACUGACGCUCAUGCACGAAAGCGUGGGGAGCAAACAGGAUUAGAUACCCGCGUAGUCCCUGUCUCUUAUAA